CCCCCACCCCACCACCCAGCACCUCCCGUCGCUGGCCCCUACUCCACCGCCCAGCACUUCCCCGUCUCUGGCUGGAAUCCCCCAGCGCGCCUGCCAUCGUCGAGGCGCCGCUGUCCACAGCUUCUCCAGCCGGUGACAGAUCCACCCUCCGCCUACCCCGUCCCCAUUGCUUAGCCAUGGCGACCUUCCCCUGCACCGCGCUGCGACCUGCCUCCCAACGGAAGUUCAACCUAUGCAUGCAUCCCCGUUCUUCUCCGGUCGUCACGGCCGUUCGUCUGUGCUCCACCGAAACGGGCUGCAUCUGGUGAUUGCAUCGCCGGGCUUGUCUGGGAGUUCGUGGCUGGACUUCUCCGGAGGCUUGCGCCGGCGAGCCCCUGCAUCUAGAAUUAUUUAUGCCCUGCCACCCAAGCUCUGUCUCGCUGUAGUGUUCUUCAAAUAGCAUCCACGAAUGUCGUUGUUUUGCUGCCCACUAGGUGUUCGUGCAAAUGUCAAAGAGGGAGCUGGAACGAAAUUCUACAGGUGGUAGUUUAGGAUAAACCAAAAGAUGAAAUAGAUCACUGUGUAGAUUUAUUUUUGUUAAAGCCUACGAUAUUCUUUGGUAGUUCUUAUUGUUCGUUGUAAUCAAUAUGUUGAUGGCAUGCUCGUGCGCUAGCACUUGAUAUGGCAUGCUCGGCCCCUCCUCCGCGGCCGGUGCUCUCCUAGUCCGUGGUCGACACCCAUCCUCCUCCGCGGCCAGCGCCCUCGCUCCCCGCGGCCGGCGCGCUCCUUCCCCAUGGCCGAUGGGCCUCCAGCUCCAUGGCCGGCGCGGUCCCUCCUUGCUGCAGCUUGCCCCUCCUCCAUGGAUGGCCUGCACCGGCUGCCGGAACUCGUUGAGGUGGUACCCUUCAUCCUCGACCUUCAAUUACAGGUUACCAACGACGCUACAAAGAGAAAGCUCAGCGUAUUCCUGCUGGAGCUGGUGUCCGUGCAAGAGCCUGCUUCAGGGAGUCCUUCCUCGUUGACACCGCCGGAGGCGCUCACGAAACUGGCGCUGAAGUGCAUGACCAAUGACCAUGCGGCUCCUAACAUGUCUUCAGUUGCCGCCAAGGUCUACAAGCUCUUCCUAGAGGUGUAGCAUUGCACCGACAAAGUUCCGCAUCCUCGCCAACAUCUCCAUCUCCAUGGCCCAAGAACAGAUGAGUGCUGCUCAACACAUGUAGGCUGCAAACACCUACCAGGAAGCUUCAGCGCCAUGCUGCUAGCACAUGAAGCGCUCGCUGGACAUCACCUACUUCCAGCGUGAGGAGGGCACCUCCUUCAGGGCGAGGUGGAUUUGGACUUCAGUGGUAGUACGAAGAGCACUUCGGGGGACACAGGGUGAACUCAGAAAAAUUCGCCGCCCCUCCCGCUGCUCGUCGCCGACUACAACGACGUGACGAGGCCGAGCUUCCCUGCCAUAGUCGACAUGGAGUUCUCCCCUUUGCUCCAUCGUGUGUGUCCGCGCAAGAAAUUGACCUGCCCCAUGGCCUAACAAGUGACCUUCAUCCCUGUUAGCUUCUUCUAAGUUGCUCCUGCAACCGUGCAGCGCUCCUAGUGCCCAGCACCGGCAUAGAAAUGUGAAUUCAUUCAGUCUAUAUAAAGGACCAAAUAAAUUAUGUGUUGUCAUAAAAAAAUGGGUGUGCCUACGUUUUUGUUGUCUCUUUGCCUCUUUGGUCUGAACAGCCUACUGAAUUACAAGCCGUUGAAACAAAAAACAAGAAGCAUC
rnacentral:rRNA from 1 species